UACGUAGGGUGCAAGCGUUAAUCGGAAUUACUGGGCGUAAAGCGUACGCAGGCGGCUAUGUAAGACAGGUGUGAAAUCCCCGGGCCUAACCUGGGAACUGCAUUUGUGACUGCAUAGCUAGAGUCUGUCAGAGGGGGGUGGAAUUCCCGGUGUAGCGGUGAAAUGCGCAGAGAUCGGGAGGAACACCAAUGGCGAAAGCAGGUAACUGGACCAUUACUGACACUCAGCUGCGAAAGCUAGGGGAGCAAACAGG
rnacentral:rRNA from 1 species